CCUACGGGGUGCAGCAGUGGGGAAUAUUGCACAAUGGGCGCAAGCCUGAUGCAGCCAUGCCGCGUGUAUGAAGAAGGCCUUCGGGUUGUAAAGUACUUUCAGCGGGGAGGAAGGGAGUAAAGUUAAUACCUUUGCUCAUUGACGUUACCCGCAGAAGAAGCACCGGCUAACUCCGUGCCAGCAGCCGCGGUAAUACGGAGGGUGCAAGCGUUAAUCGGAAUUACUGGGCGUAAAGCGCACGCAGGCGGUCUGUCAAGUCGGAUGUGAAAUCCCCGGGCUCAACCUGGGAACUGCAUUCGAAACUGGCAGGCUAGAGUCUUGUAGAGGGGGGUAGAAUUCCAGGUGUAGCGGUGAAAUGCGUAGAGAUCUGGAGGAAUACCGGUGGCGAAGGCGGCCCCCUGGACAAAGACUGACGCUCAGGUGCGAAAGCGUGGGGAGCAAACAGGAUUAGAUACCCGCGUAGUC
rnacentral:rRNA from 1 species